rnacentral:rRNA from 1 species
CGUGGGUAACCUGCCCAAGAGACUGGGAUAACACCUGGAAACAGAUGCUAAUACCGGAUAACAACACUAGACGCAUGUCUAGAGUUUAAAAGAUGGUUCUGCUAUCACUAUUGGAUGGACCUGCGGUGCAUUAGCUAGUUGGUAAGGUAACGGCUUACCAAGGCAAUGAUGCAUAGCCGAGUUGAGAGACUGAUCGGCCACAUUGGGACUGAGACACGGCCCAAACUCCUACGGGAGGCAGCAGCC